GCAAUGAAUUAAGAAUCAGGAUCUAGAGUCUAAUCUUAUUGCUGCCAUUUACUAAAUUAGCCCCAUGAAGCCUCAGUUUCUUUAGCUAUAAAAUGGAAAGAACAGCAGUACUUACUCAACAGGACUAUUGGGAGAAGUAAGGGACACAGUAAUUAUACGAAGCAUUUAGCAUGUGUUCCUGAUGUAGUGAAUUGCUCAAUAAUAUUAGGAAACGGGCAACAUUAUCUUCAACUCUUCUUUCUUGCUCCCCAAAACCAAUCAGUUGCUGAGUCCCUAGACUCUAUGCCUGAAGGAUCACUUCCAUUCAGCUGCUCCUCUCCUUACUGCCAGGGAAAUGAGAGCCUUGGCUGAUAAUUAGUGGACUUACAAAUAAUCAUACCCUGACUGCCACAAAAAUAACUUUCUUCUCCACCCAAUUCGUUCCUCCCCUCCCUAGUUUUCUCUUGGAGGACCUGGGUUGCUCAAGCAGAAGUCAUAUGGAUUGUAUUUCCUCUGAAUAGCUCACCAUGUAGCACAGUAAUAUCUCUGCACCUAAUUAAAUGAGUCAGGUCAAGUUUUCUGCAAGUUUUCUUCCAUCGCAGCACUAACAUUCACAUUCAGUGUAUUGCCUUAUGUAACACAAUUUCCUGCUUUCAGCCCAAAAUAAAUAAAAAGGAACCUUGCCAAUGAAAAACCAGUUAGCCCAGCCUGCUUUGCUUUGCCCAACCCCACACUCUAUGUCAACUGUUCCAUUAUAGUUUGUCUGUUUACAGGGAAGCUGCCAGUGUCUAAGACGCGAGGCAUUCAGACAAUUGUUCAGACAAUGGAUUCACAGUACCUAGAAUCCCUGUGACUCAGUUUUCCACAAAUGUGCUAUUAGGGGAAAUGUUCACAGAUCAGCAACUGUGGACUUUUGCUGGCCGCACAGACUCUGCUGAUGUGCACAAUUCCAAACUGCAAGCAGUUUCCCCACUGGAAACAAUGAGACUCACAGCAUUACACAGUUGGCAGAGAAUUUUAGAGAUAACUUAAUCUACCCCUUUGUUUUGGACACAACCCCGUUUAAACUAUUUUGGACAGAUAAAAUCCAUGCUAUGUUAAUGAAUCUUCUUCAAUAACUGCUUUCAAAUAUCCCUCCCCUCCAAAUCAGGGAGUAAUUCCCUCUGUCUGAAGCAGACAGUAUGGUUUGCUAGUCAAGAGCCUCUGCCCACUUUCUCCUGUCUGGUAAAGAGCCAGUUUGAAGGGGUUGCCCAUCCCUUCCCUACAUGUCUCGGGAUUAAUUUUUGAUCAGUCUGAGCUUGCCAGUGAUUGGCUCAGAAGGGGCAGGGGACCCAGUUCUGUGCAAUAAAGUGUAACGAGAGCUUAGCAAAAGGGAUUUUCUAAGGAUAUUCUCCUGCUCCUAAAAAAAAACUUAUAGGAAAAAUAAUCCUUAUUUUUAGCGAGGCAUGAUACUAGAGCUGUGGGAGCUCCCUUGCAUCCAUGAAGGGAGCCAGCCAAAGGCCAAACCAAAUAGUGAAAGAAAUAUAGAAGGACUCUGGAUAUUUGAUGAUGUCAUUAAGCUGCUGAAUCAACCAACCUGCGAGCCAACCUACCCCAGGAUUUCUUGUCAUGUGAGAUAGUAAAUUUUCCUUACUGGUAUGUACUGGUGACUAUAAAUUGGUACCUUGGUUGGCCAGAUCUUCGUGGGAGAUGGACAUUCAAAUCUCCAUAUCCAGAUAAAAGUCAUUCCAGAGAAUGGAACAAUAUUUCCUAUGUAAGCAUUUAGAAACAUGAACGGUAAAGAGUAGACUCUACUUUGAUCAAGCGUGCCAAACUGAAAUUAUUUCUUCUUUGAUAGAAUUAGUAGAUAGUAGAUUACAUAUCAGAGAAAGUCAUAGAAAUACUUGAUUUCAGCACACAUCAGAUAAAACUGCUUAUAAUAUUUUGGUCAACAAAACAGGAAAAUAGUGGAGAAAGAUGCAGAUACUGAAGAAGCAUAAGAUGCUAGUGGAAGACUGGUUGGUUGGCAGGUCAUGGCAUUGUAAGGGUGCCAUGACAGACAGCAAGCAGAUGUCAGUACAGGCAAGCAGCCAACAUGGAGGAGGCUUACAAGUGUCUAAUACAAACAGUGGGGCAAAUUAAAAGCAUGCUGGGAAUAGGGUGCAAAUAACUGGAAACCUUGGUAAGCAAGGAUUGGCAUCACAGAAAGAUUGACAGGUUACAAGCUUCCAAUUUUCGUGUUGGAUUUUAGGAGGAAAAAAUUAUUGUAUGGGGACUUUGGGGAAAUAAAUGAACAGAACCCAAGUUUAAUUAUUUUUAAAAAGUGGAAGUGCUCUAAUCAUAGGAUAAUCGGAGUUAAAAAGCAACUCAUCAAGAUAGUAAUUUAAGAAUAGGCCACAUGGCAGAAGCUUAGUUGUUAUACCUUGGAAGAGAGCCAAUACUAUACCAGGAGGAAACAUGACCCAAAUCUGAGUUCUGCAGUUUUAGUCUGGAGACCUUCAGAUUCCUAGGAUUGUUCCCAGACACACGGGGAGGCCAAGCCCAUAGAUGGAAAUCUCUAGAGCUUCAGCCAUAGGGAGAGUAGAUAAUACAGAGGAAAGGAAUCAGGAAAGGCUUAGCCAAACCCUGUUGAUUAAUUAAUGGAUUCAUAUCAGCUUUGUGGAAAAUCUCAAUUAUUUGUCUGAGACCUUUGUCCAUGACCCCGACCUAUUCAAAUAUUUUUAUUAUGAACUUGAAUGAAAACAAAGAAGACAUGAAAAUCAGAUGUGUGGAUAACACAAAGUUGGAAAAAACCACUAAUACGUUGGAUUCAAUAAUCAAAAAUUGAGCCUCGUUGAACCCACAACUGGUUAGUAGCUGUGGCUCUUACCACUUUUACAAUUAAAUACAUACAGCAACAGAAGAAUGUUCAAAACUCACCAUGUGGUAUACUGGAACCAUGACCAAGGACUGGCCCUUGCGAGAAAUGCGGAGGAAUUUCCUUGAAUUGCAAGAGAUUAGUGGUAGGUAGCUCCCGUGUACUCAGGAGGGGGAACCAUCCUGAUGGAAAGGGUUUGUCUCUCACCUCUUUCUGUCUUUGAAUUCCAUCCAGGAAUAUAGUCCAUUUCAGGUCAUUUUCUCUGUGUGCGUGCGUGUGUGCGUGUACGCACACGUGUGUAUGGUGAGGCCACUCAGGAUGACGUUUUUUUUCUCUAUAUAUAUGCCCUGCUUGACCGGUGCCUGCUUCACUUACUCACAUGACUCACCUUCCUACAUACCUGCCCCCGCCCCAGCUAGUGAUUGUUCUGAUCUCCUUGUGUGUGUGUGUGUGUGUGUGUGUGUGUGUUGGGGGGGUGCACAGCUGCGGCAUAUGGCAGUUGCAAGGAGGAGAGAGGGAUUGAACCCCCAGCAUAGCAGGAACCCAAGCCGCUGCAGUGACAGCGCUGGAACCUUACCCCACUGUGCCACAAGAGAACUCCCUAUUCUGAGAUCAGAACAUCUCCACCCUGACAGCUUAUCAAAGGGGUAGUGAGGGGCCUCCCCUCUGCUGUUUCCCUGAUAACUGAUGUCAGCCUGACAUCAAUGCCUCCCCCUGCCCUCAGGGAGUAAAGACUGCUGCCUUGUCCCUCUCACAGUCUGCUGCACACAGUGGGGUAAGCUCCCCAUCCAUUAAACCACUGAUGUCUCUGUAACUGACUCAGGGCUCUUUCUUUAGUCCUGAAGCUGGGCUUUUUUUUUUUUUUGUAAUGUAAAUUAAGCAAAUAUUCCUUAGCCCUCAAAUUUUGCUGGGAUUUUGGUGGGGAUUAUGUCAAUAUCAUAGAUUAUUUUGGAGAUAAGCAGAGUCUUUAUCAAGGUUAGGUUUCUCAACAUUUUUUUUUUUAACUGCUUCACUACUAGGGUACUCAAAGGGUGGUCCAUGGACCAGCUGCAUGAGCUUCACUGGGGAUGUUUUGAAAUACCCAUUCUUAGACCCUGCCCCCAAACUACUGAAUCAAAAUCUACUUAUUAAGCAGGAUCCCCAGGUGAUUUGAAUGUAAUUAAAGUUAGAAAAAUACUGCUUUAGUAGAAUUUUAAAGAUUCGUCCAAAAGAUUUUGUGCGUAUUUGUUAGGUUACUUCCUAGGUUAACGCAGUAUUUCUAAAUAGCUUUUGCAUUUUUUUUGGUGGGGGGGGGUUGUCUUUCAAGGGCCGCACCCACAGCAUAUGGAGGUUCCCAGGCUAGGGGUCUAAUCAGAGCUCUUGCUGCUGGUCUACACCACAGCCACAGCAAUGCCAGAUCCGAGCUGCAUCUGGGACCUACACCACAGCUCACGGCAACGCCGGAUCCUUAACCCACUGAGCUUGGCCAGGGAUUGAACCCACAUCCUCAUGGUUCCUAGUCGGAUUCGUUUCCACUGCGCCACGACAGGAACUUCCUAAAUAGUUUCUCUACUGGUUCUCUUCUGAGUUUUCUGGGAAUAUUUAUAUCAUCUGGAAAUAAUGGCAGCUCAGUUUCUUGACACUCGUUUCCUUCCCAUCUUUAUACGUCUUUCUCUUGAUUUCUUUUGGAGGCCAUGGCUUCCAACAUCACAGGGAAAGUGAAGGUGAGAAAGUGCUCUCACCCAUAAAGGAAAUGCUUCUAACAUUUCUUCCAUAAAUGUUAAAUUUGCGGCCAAGUUUCAGUAGAGAGCCUUAUCAGGUUAUGAGACUUCUCUAGUCUUUGUUUUCUAAACACUUUUUUCACAAGUUCACUAUUGAUUUAGAAUUUUUUUCUGCAUGCAUAAGAGAAGAUCAUGUAAUUUUUGUCCUUUGGUCCAUUAACGUGAAUUACAUGGUUUUAAUUUCUGUCUUUGAACUAUCCUGACCUUCUUGAAAUAAAUUAUAUACUCUUAUAAUUCACCCUUCGCCCUCUCUUUUAUUAGAUAAUGUAGAGUAAAGCAUAUUGCUCUUCAUAUUAAUCAAAUUAGAGGCGUUAAAGUGCAACUGAACUUUAUUUUGCUGAAAAAAUAAUUGGUUCUUAUUCUCCACUUCUUUAAUCAAAAGAACAUGGGCCAAGGCAGACACGUAAAAUUUCUCAGGGAGAUAAAUUACUCUUGUUUAUGAUUUCGAUAAAUAUUUGAAAGAAAGGAAUGAAUACGAUUGUCUUUUUCCCAUGUUUUUUGGUUCAAUAACCUAGAUACACUUGGAAGUUGACGCAUAGAGACGAAUGUGCUUGUGUGCAGCUAUCUCCAGGGUAUGACAGGGAAGUGAGCUUGCGCUCAAGCUCCUCCUUUGCUCUUUGCAUCCAAAGAUGAUGCUCUUGAUGUCAGUUACCAUCUCUCUGUAGGUGUGGCACAAAGACCAAGAUGCAAUUAUUUGAUAUAUCACUUCUAGAAGGUCUUUUCUUUGUGGCUAAAACUUCUGAUGAAUAAAGCCCAGUAUUGGAAGUUCCCAUUGUGGCAUAGCAGAAACGAAUCAGACUAGUACCCAUGAGGAUGAGGGUUCGUUCCCUGGCUUUCGCUCAGUGGGUUAAGGAGCCAGUGUUGCAGUGAGCUGUGGUGUAGGUUGCAGAUGCAGCUCAGAUGUGGUGGUGUUGUGGCUGAGGUGUAGGCCAGCAGCAGUAGCUCCGAUUUGACCCCUAGCCUGGGAACUUCCAAAUGCUGCAGGUGUGGCGCUAAAAAGCAAAAUAAAUAAAUAAAUAAAUAAAUAAAUAAAUAAAUAAAUAAAUCAAUCCCAGCGUGGUUAUGGUUAAGCGUAGAGUAGACUGAAGCCUCCACACCAAAAGCCACCCCAUUGCUCUUGUAUAACAUGCUAGGUUGGCCAGGGUUGCCUGUUCUCUGGAUGCAGAGCUGCUGAGCAAGGGCCUUGGCAGUCAGGCAUCAGUGGGUUUUUCUUCAUUACCUGAUUAUAACAGGGGAGUUCCCGUCGUGGCGCAGUGGUUAACGAAUCCGACUAGGAACCAUGAGGUUGCGGGUUCAGUCCCUGCCCUUGCUCAGUGGGUUAACCAUCUGGCGUUGCCGUGAGCUGUGGUGUAGGUUGCAGACGCGGCUCAGAUCCUGCGUUGCUGUGGCUCUGGUGUAGGCUGGUGGCUACAGCUCCGAUUC
rnacentral:lncRNA from 1 species